rnacentral:rRNA from 1 species
GACGAGGUGGACAAACGUUAUUCGGAUUUACUGGGCUUAAAGCGUGCGUAGGCGGCUCAGAAAGUUGGGUGUGAAAGCCCUCGGCUCAACCGAGGAAUUGCGCUCAAAAACUACUGAGCUUGAGUGAGAUAGGGGAGAGCGGAACUGAUGGUGGAGCGGUGAAAUGCGUUGAUAUCAUCAGGAACACCGGUGGCGAAGGCGGCUCUCUGGAUCUUUUCUGACGCUGAGGCACGAAAGCUAGGG